rnacentral:rRNA from 1 species
UACGUAGGGGGCUAGCGUUGUCCGGAAUCAUUGGGCGUAAAGCGCGUGUAGGCGGUCCGGUAAGUCCGCUGUGAAAGUCGGGGGCUCAACCCUCGAAUGCCGGUGGAUACUGUCGGGCUAGAGUGCGGAAGAGGCGAGUGGAAUUCCUGGUGUAGCGGUGAAAUGCGCAGAUAUCAGGAGGAACACCGGUGGCGAAGGCGGGUCUCUGGGCAACAACUGACGCUGGAGGAGCGAAAGCGUGGGGAGCGAACAGG